UCACUAGUCAUACUUUUUGUCGAUUUAGUUAUUGAAAUACGUUUAAAUCAGUCCAAUGGCGUCCAUAACAAGUUUUAAUUCCAUUUUUGGGUUUUUGUUUAUAGCGCGCGUGCGUAGUACAAAAAUUCAUAUUUAAAAAUAAAGAUAACGCUAGCCUUUCCAAAUAACUAAUCCCAAAAAAUGGAUUCAACUAAAGAAAAAU